rnacentral:rRNA from 1 species
UACAGAGGGGGCAAGCGUUAUUCGGAAUUAUUGGGCGUAAAGGGCGCGUAGGCGGCCUGGCAAGUGGAAGGUGAAAUCCCUCGGCUUAACCGAGGAACUGCCCUCCAAACUGCUUGGCUUGAGUCCGGGAGAGGUGAGUGGAAUUCCCAGUGUAGCGGUGAAAUGCGUAGAUAUUGGGAAGAACACCAGUGGCGAAGGCGGCUCACUGGACCGGAACUGACGCUGAGGCGCGAAAGCGUGGGGAGCAAACAGG